rnacentral:rRNA from 1 species
UUUCAGACAUGUCCUUAAAUGCUGAUCGUGGGGGUACAAUACCUCAGCGGAAGAAGGGUGACUAACGCGUGGUGACGUACCUUUUGGUUCGGGACAACACAACGUAAACUUGUGGUAGUGCCGAACCAGCCCUUCCAGGGAAAGAUUUAUCGCCGAAAGAUCGGUCCGAGUCUGAUUAGAUAUGUGGCAGGGUAAUGACCUAUCAAGGCGACCAUCCCUAACUGGCCUGAUAGGAUGAUCAUUCACAUUGGGACUGAGACACGGCCCAAACUCCUACGGGAGGCUGCCGUGGUCAAUAUUGUACUAUGGGGGCAACCCUGAUCCACCCCUGCCGCGGGAGUGAUGAAUGCCCUAGGCUUGUGAAGCUCUUUUGUCCCGGAAGAUAAUGUCGGCCCCCCUCGAAUAAGCCCCGGUUAACUUCGUGCCGCCAGCCGCGGUUAUACGAAUGGGGCUAGCGUUGCUCGUAAUCACUGCCCGUCCUGGGUGCGUAAGCGGCUCUUUAAGUCCUGCGCGAAAUCCUGGAGUUCAACUCCAGAACUGCCUUUGAUACUGAACAUCUUGAAUUCCUUAGAGUUUGAUUCAACUGCGAGUGCUCACCUGAAAUUACGAGAUAUUCGUAAGCAAACCAGCUGGCGAAGGAGGCUCACUGGCCCGAGACUGUACUCUGAUUACCGAAAGGCGUGCCGAGCAAACCUGAAUUAUGAUAUCCUGGCAAUCCUCUCCCGGAAACGAAGGAAGGUAAGCCGCCUAGUGGGGUUUACUCUCCCAACGGGGGCACCUUACGGAUUUUAAAAUUUACUUCCUGGGC